AUUGAACGCUGGCGGCAUGCCUUACACAUGCAAGUCGAACGGUAACGCGGGGCAACCUGGCGACGAGUGGCGAACGGGUGAGUAAUGCAUCGGAACGUGCCCAGUAGUGGGGGAGAGCCCGGCGAAAGCCGGAUUAAUACCGCAUACGACCUUCGGGUGAAAGGGGGGGGUCGCAUGACCUCUCGCUACUGGAGCGGCCGGUGUCAGAGUAGGUAGUUGGUGGGGUAAAAGCCUACCAAGCCGACAAUCUGUAGCCGGUCUGAGAGGACGACCAGCCACACUGGGACUGAGACACGGCCCAGACUCCUACGGGAGGCAGCAGUGGGGAAUUUUGGACAAUGGGCGCAAGCCUGAUCCAGCCAUGCCGCGUGCGGGAAGAAGGCCUUCGGGUUGUAAACCGCUUUUGUCAGGGAAGAAACGCUUCGAGUUACUACCUCGGAGUAAUGACGGUACCUGAAGAAUAAGCACCGGCUAACUACGUGCCAGCCGCCGCGGUAA
rnacentral:rRNA from 1 species